rnacentral:ncRNA from 1 species
GAAGUGUGUGAAAGUAAAGAAUAUUAGCACUCCUCUUGACAAGGAUAGACCAAACCCUCAGGCCUCAUAAUAUGUAUAUGGUUAAGGCAUUGAUACCUACUUUGUGGUAUCUAACCACAGUUUGGA